GGUGAUUGGUACACAUCUGUGUUCACAGAAGACAGUAUAAUAAGGAGAAGGAUAGUAAAUGCUAUACAGAUGAGCAGGAAUUGUGUUUAUUUCAUGUUAUUACUUUUAACAGCUCCUUGGCUUGAUCAGGUCAGAGAAAGUGCAGCUUUUGUGAGCAAAGAGAAGUUCACGAGGACUUUGAAGAAAUUCUCAAUUGUGUCCAGGAAAAGCAUCCAGGUUCUGUUUUUGUUCCUGUGUCCUCAUUGUGUUUAAAUUCCCCUGCACUCUGGAAGAUGAGAUAAAAAUUUCUGCCAAAUAUGGUCAUAAAAAAAUGAAAAAGGAGGGAGUGAUUUUUUUUUUCUCUUAUAGAGAGCCUUUUCACAAUAUUUGAUGUAUCCUUUAUAUCCAUCAUUACACGGAGAUCUUAAGACUGGACGUAUCUACUGGCAUGUGGUUAAUAGCUGAAUCUAGAAUCUAGAAUAUAUUCAGGGAAAAUAUAUAUUCUGUCUAAAAUGUUUCUCUAUAGAAAUAGAAAAUCCUUCGAAGAAUUUCUUUAAGUUACCAGCUUGUUGUCAUAUUUGUAAAUAAACAGUAUUAUUUUCAUAGUAGUUCAACAGUGUGUGACAUUUUAGCUGGAGAUCUUGAAUCUGCUCCACCUACAACUUUAAGGCUGAGCACUGACUGUAUAAAUAUAAACACUGAGACAAAUAGACAGAUUUCCUUUCUACAUACUGUAUCAUUGUCAAACUAGGAAACAUUAUCCGUAUACAACGUAAUGACUUUUUUCUUUCCUUGAAGCAGACCUUAUGAGCCUCUUUCAUUCUCUUUCCUUUGAAGAGGAGCUAUUUCCUCUCUGGACUGCACAAAAAAAAAGUGUGUGUAUAUGUAUAAUAGCUUGGCAUACGUAUUCUUUAAAGUUGCCAUAUUGUAAUCAAGGGUUCCAUUCCCACUCAGUUUGUUUUAUUGAGACAGUACUAACGAUUUUAGGAAAAAAAUAUUUAAAGAUUUCUAGUACUUUGCAUGUAAAUAAAAUCUAAUUUUAGAAUGUGUUUUGUCUGAUGUUCUGGGUUGGAGUUAUUUUCUGUUGCAUGGCAGGACUGCAUUUGCCAAAUUUGUAUUCUAGAUAUUUUGUACUGUAUGCCUUUCUAGGGAAAGUUAUAAGUUAUAAGGAAAAAACUCUCUGAUAUCAGUCCUUGCUGGAUCAAUGCAUUUUUUUUUUUUGAUGCUGAUAAAAGUUAAACUGAGCU
rnacentral:lncRNA from 7 species